AUGUUGCAUGGAGGAGAGAAGCUUAGCAUCCCCUUUGACAAGGAUAGAAGAGGGGGCCUGCGCAGCACACAUAUAGUUACUGCCACCUACUUGGUGGCAUCUAAAUGUGGUUUUGA
rnacentral:ncRNA from 1 species